AUUCUACACUCCUCGUGUGUCAUCAGGUAGCCAAAUGCCUCAUCAUCUAAUUAGUGACGCGCAUGAAUGGAUGAACGAGAUUCCCACUGUCCCUACCAACCAUCUAGCGAAACCACAGCCAAGGGAAAAGGCUUGGCAGAAUUAGCGGGGAAAGAAGACUCUGCUGAGCUUGACUCUUGUCUGGCACUGUGAAGAGACAUGAGGGGUGUAGAAUAAGUGGGAGGACGCACC